GCCUAGCCCAGAUUAAAGUGGAAAUACGGCAGUAAAAAAUACUAUUGUUUUCUUGCCUGAAAGAGCGACCGCAGGAAGCUCCUUUUAGGCAAUUGAAAACAAAUUAUUUUUGCUGCAGGAUUAUAACGGAAAGCUGGAAAUAGC
rnacentral:misc_RNA from 1 species